UUUUUUUUUUUGGUAAAGUUUUUGGGGAAAGUCCCAUAAGCAAUGCCUGGGGCAAUAAUUCCUCAGCCAUUUAUCAACUGCAAUAGCCCACUUCAUAUUCACUUUUUAAUUUCAAUGACUUAACGCAGUCUAAAUCUUUAAUAAAAUGCUCUUCAAUUGUACUUUAAGGUAUCUUACUGCAGUUCCAAAUUCUGCCUAUUUCUAGAUACAACUAUUGUACCCAAAAUCAGGAUACCAUGCUUUAACUCAAGCCAAGGAGCACUGGGGUGUGUGGCUUUGGGCCUUUUUAACCAUCACAGGAUGUCUACAAGACACUUCAUAGGGAUGCACUGAAUAAAUUUGACUCCAUGUAACCCUAGUUUUGAGUUUGCUUCUCAGACAUUGGCUUUUCAUUCUGUCCAUCCUUGAACUUCCUAUCUCCUUCCGUCAACUGCUCCUGACCUCAGUUUGUCCACUCAGCACUUUUUGUGCAUGCUUGUUGAUGACAUGUCCAUGACCCCAACAUCUGACCUCAAGUGUAUAUCCUGUUUUCAUGUUUGAACAGGCUCUGGUGGUUCAGGGGAGCUUGUUUAUGAAUCUUAAAUCCCCACUCAAUUAAUAGCCUCUGGAAGUAAAGCCAUACUUCACCUGUAGUAAGUCAAAUACAGACUGAGUUGUCUCGUUAAUCUCUGAAUGAUCAGUCCUUGGACUUCUAUUAUAACAUUUAAUAGGACCCGACCUCAGUGAGCUCACAAGCUGGUACGAGAGCAAGUUAUCUUUAACAACCAUUAAAAAAAAAAAAAAUACCACAAAGGGAGUGCAUACAAAGGGCAAGGGAAGAGACAAGACAAAAUGCAAAGAGCCAGAACAUUAUGGUUCAGGAAGAGAUUAAUGUUCACAAGGGGAUCCAAGAGAUUGCACUCAGAACAGGUGGUAUUUAUAAAGUACUACGAAGACUAAUGCUUCCACUAACAGAAGAAGAGCUGAUGCUGAGAAGACAGGUAGAACAUAAGCUCUGUAGGACUUUGUAGUCAACGUUGCCAAUAUAAGGACAAAGUUGAAAGGAGAAAACUCUACAGGACACAGAACUUCAAUCUUUUACCCAUACUCUAUUCAAACCCCUCUCUGGCUUCUUCUCUGCCCAUUGGGUGAAAUCUAGCGCAGUUCUUUUGACUCUGCUUGCUCAUUCUCUUUCAUCUCAGUAAUGAAAACAACCGACCCUGUGCAAUGGCCAAAAAUACCAAAUUUCAUUGCAAGUCAAAACAUCUUUCCUUUUGCAGAUUUGGGAGGUUAGUAAUAUUUUUUUUUAUGCCUGGACUCCUAUUUUCCUUCUUCCCAGCUUGCUAGCCCAGGGUAUAGGGAGGUGUGGGCAGAGGCACAGGAAGGAGGAGGGAGAAGAAAAUGUCUUCCUAGAUUGAGACAGUUGUGAUCAUCCACUGGUGCCCUCUGAGGUUGGUUAAUGUUCAGAGCUGACCUUUUCUCUCUAAUGGCCUGAUCUGUGGACCCUUAACUAAUUGUCUUUGGGGAACAUUUGACUACACCUCUGUUAACAGGAAGUAUUAGUUACCUAUUACCACAUAGAUACAUAUAAAAUACCCUUAAAACAAAACUAUUUAUUACCUCACAUUCCUGAGCCCAGGAAUCCAGGAUCAGUUUAGCUGGGUGGUUCUGGCUCAGGGUGUCCCAGAAAACUUUGCUAGGGAAUCAGUCAUCUGAAGAUUUGACUAGGAUGGAAAAAUAUUUCUAAAAUGGCUUAAUUAACACAGCUGUUGGCUUGAGGCUUCAGUUCCUAGCUAUGAGAUACUCUCCUUAGGAUUGCUCCAGUGUCCUUAUAACAUGGCAGGGGGUUUCUUAUAACACCCUCCUUCACCCCAGCUUGAAGUCCUUUGGAGGAAAGUCCCUUUUAAGGCAACCUCCAUCUGAUCACUCCAAAAGAAGAUUCACCUGGUUUACAAUACCAAAGUAGUCCCCAAAGUAGCCACUUCUCUUUGCUUCACUACUAGGAAAUAGCAAAACCUCUUGUCCUUAAGAUUCUUGAGAUGUGGGUCAGACAUGAGGUCCAGGAGCACAUACUUAUCUCUUAAAUGGACUCUCUCCAGCCUUCCUCGCUAGUCUUGGGAUGAAUAAACAUCAUACACAGAAGAGGUAGGGCAGGGAAAAUGCCAUGACAUUAUAAAAACUUUCUUCUCAGCCCAGUACCCACCUCAAAAAUAUCAAAACAGUUGACAUUGAAGAGGUCAGGAGCCAAUAAAAACACUUAGAUCACACCCUUUGAAAUGUCUGUAUGAAGUUUUUGCCACCUACUUUGUGCUAUUGAAAGCUUCAUCCAAAAGUGAGAGUACACAUUCUGUUUAAACAUUUUGUUAUACAAGGGUAAGGAUUUUGUCAGUGCGAGUGUUAGCUCUACUCUGCAUUUUGAAAGGUGUUUGUCUUUGGGUUUCCCAAGAGAGACCCAAAGGCAAGGACUUGACUGCAAGCGGUUUAUUUGGGAAGUAAUACCAGGAAAUAGUUGUAGGGAAAUGGAAGAAAAUAAAGGAGCAAAUAAAUGCUGUAUUAUAAAAUUAUUUACUACUGUGGGCAAUGGGAGCUGAAUCCUCUGAGAAAUUCCUGGAAACAGCAAAAAAUAUACCUACCGUUGUCCACUACCAAAGGACAAAAAUGCCUGUGUAUUUAUAUACCAACUUCCUGUUCAUCAUUGAUUGAGGAGACUGCUUUCUGGGCAUUAAUUAACUCUCUAAAACUUCUGGUUUGCACUACUUGGAGGCUGAAUACCAAGCUAUCCCUGGUUGGAGUGAGUGCCAAGGGGAUGUAGACUGGGUAUCAGUAGUAUCUGUGAUAUCAAGUGACCUUGGAAAUUUAGAAAUAAAUGUUUUGUCCUCCCACAGUUUUUGUCCUUGAAUCAACCCCUGCCUGCUCCAAAUACAAAGACCAACUCUAUAAUGCCUUGCUUCAGAUAUCUUGGCAGAAACUGGAAAUAGAAGCAGCUAGAAUCAAUGUCUUUCCUUACUUUUUUUAAAGGCUGAACUCUACAGAAAAGAAAACAGUUGUCUGUAGGGGAAAGAAGAGAGAGCAAGAACAAAGAAAGGAGAGAUUCUGGAAAAAAAAAAUCAUCAGAUCCCUUUAUAAGCAAGUCUUAGCACACUGCUCAGUUGCAGAACCCAUAGAGAUGGAUUCAACAAAAGUGGACUAUAUUCUAGGCAUGGAAAAUACUGCUUUCACAGAGCUUAAAUUCUAAUUGGGGCAAGUGGGGUGGUGACAGGAAUAGAAAAUAUCAAAUAUUAAAAUAUAAGCUAUGCUAUACAGAAAAUAAACCAAAAUGAUGUGAUAGAGGGAGAGUGAUUACUUUAUAUUGGGUGGUCUCAAAGCCUCCUCUGAGCACAUAGUUGAACUUAGACCUUAAUUUUAAAAAUGAGCCAAUCAUGGGAAGAUCUGAAGAAAGAUGAACAGAGAGGACAGAAUUUAGCCUUAGCAUUUAGGCUUAGCUCACCUAAGACUUUAGGAGCAUUCUAUAAUCCUUAGGGGAAGAAAACCCCAAUAAUAAUUAAGACAUAUUUUUACCAACCCAGUUGGAUAGGCGCUCAAACAGAAUAAACUUGCUCUAAGGGGAAAAAAAGACAAUAAUAUAUUGUUUUGCAUCCCUGAGUGUACAAAAUGCUUCAUACUAAGGAUGAAAAGGAGAAAACUACAUAUGAGAAAGAUGAAAACAUGUAGUGACAGAUACGUUUAAGCAGCCUUAGUGGAUUAAUUUCACUAAAUUGAAUGUGAUCUCCACUAGCUCACUAUAAACUUAGUGUUGUCAUCCCCAAUUCACAUGUAAAGAAAAUGAGGAUCAAAAUAACAAAGAGACUUGCCCCAAUAACAGAGUUAUUGAGUAUCGCAUUUGGAGUUAAGACGCAAUCUCUCUACAAAAGUCAUUUUCCACCAUU
rnacentral:lncRNA from 1 species